AGUGGGAUCCAUCUUAAGUUAAGACUCUAGCCAACCCGAGAAAAUUCGGCCACACAAGAGAGAUAGGAUCCCAGCCUUCAGAAUUUAUUGCAAAAUUUUGGAUUCAUUUUAUGGAAAUCAAAAAACAGGUGGGAAUAUGGGAAGCCUGGAGACACAAAUGACCUGACAGAAACAAAAACAAGAUCCGCUUCAGAUGUUGCGGUUUUCUUGACUUCAGCUCCUAUUUUCCUGCCACGUGAAAAUGCCAACAUGUCAUUUGGGAGAUUUCACGGAGAGCCAGAGUGGAGGACGCAGCUCAUCUGCUGAGACGUCACCCUGAGGAGUGAUUUAA